GCAUAUCAAUAAGCGGAGGAAAAGAAAAUAACAAUGAUUCCUCUAGUAACUGCGAGUGAAGAGGGAAAAGCUCAAAUUUUAAAUCUGUUAGGUUUACCUAACCGAGUUGUAAUUUGAAGAAGCAUUUUCUGCGAUUUUGGUUAGUCCAAAUCCUUUGGAAUAAGGUAUCAUGGAGGGUGAGAAUCCCGUUCGGUUAACCAAAGCGCUUUACGAUACACUUUCAAAGAGUCAAGUUGUUUGGGAUUGCAGCUUAAAAUGGGAGGUAAAUUUCUCCUAAGGCUAAAUAUUGGUGAGAGACCGAUAGCGAACAAGUACCGUGAGGGAAAGAUGAAAAGAACUUUGAAAAGAGAGUUAAACAGUACAUGAAAUUGUUGAAAGGGAAACAAUUAAAGUCAGUCGUACCUACGAGUGAUCAACCUACUCGAGUGCGAUUUUGUGGGUAUGUUUGAGCUUAAAAACCUUCAUACUUACAAAUUGGUGCUCUUUGGGCGUACUUUCUCAUAUGGUAGGUUAACAUCAAUUUUGAUCGUUAUAAAAUGACUGGAGGAAUGUAGCUUUGACCUCGGUUGAAGUGUUAUAGCCUUUGGUAGAUGUAAUGAUUGGGAUUGAGGAUUGCAACGGAUACCCUCUGGGCUAUUCGUCUGAUCUCUGGAAGUUACCUUGGUGUCGAAAGCGUGCUUACGAUAUUAAGGUUAACGGCCAAUAGGUUAGAACGUGAUUAAAUUCGUUAAGAAUGUUGACGUAAUGGCUUUAAACGAC
rnacentral:rRNA from 1 species